GACGAACGCUGGCGGCGUGCUUAACACAUGCAAGUCGAACGGAAAGGCCCUGCUUUUGUGGGGUGCUCGAGUGGCGAACGGGUGAGUAACACGUGAGUAACCUGCCCUUGACUUUGGGAUAACUUCAGGAAACUGGGGCUAAUACCGGAUAGGAGCUCCUGCUGCCUGGUGGGGGUUGGAAAGUUUCGGCGGUUGGGGGUGGACUCGCGGCUUAUCAGCUUGUUGGUGGGGUAGUGGCUUACCAAGGCUUUGACGGGUAGCCGGCCUGAGAGGGUGACCGGCCACAUUGGGACUGAGAUACGGCCCAGACUCCUACGGGAGGCAGCAGUGGGGAAUAUUGCACAAUGGGCGGAAGCCUGAUGCAGCAACGCCGCGUGCGGGAUGACGGCCUUCGGGUUGUAAACCGCUUUCGCCUGUGACGAAGCGUGAGUGACGGUAAUGGGUAAAGAAGCACCGGCUAACUACGUG
rnacentral:rRNA from 1 species